rnacentral:lncRNA from 1 species
UUAUAAUUCCUUAUAAUUAUCAAUGCCUAUAAUUAUGCAGCAGACAAAACAGAUUUUCAAUGAAGUAAAACUUAUGUUGUAUAAGUAUGCAAAUUUAAAUUCAGUUAGAAUUUUCACAAAGUCCAAAAGAAAAAAGAUAUCCAUGAAAAUAAAAUUUUACAGUACAUAUAAAAUAAAUAUUACCUUAAGAAAGAUUUUCAUUUUUUC